rnacentral:rRNA from 1 species
GACGAACGCUGGCGGCGUGCUUAACACAUGCCAGUCGAACGGAAAGGCCCUGCUUUUGUGGGGUGCUCGAGUGGCGAACAGGUGAGUAACACGUGAGUAACCUGCCCUUGACUUUGGGAUAACUUCAGGAAACUGGGGCUAAUACCGGAUAGGAGCUCCUGCUGCAUGGUGGGGGUUGGAAAGUUUCGGCGGUUGGGGAUGGACUCGCGGCUUAUCAGCUUGUUGGUGGGGUAGUGGCUUACCAAGGCUUUGACGGGUAGCAGGCCUGAGAGGUGGACCGGCCACAUUGGGACUGAGAUACGGCCCAGACUCCUACGGGAGGCAGCAGUGGGGAAUAUUGCACAAUGGGCGGAAGCCUGAUGCAGCAACGCCGCGUGCGGGAUGACGGCCUUCGGGUUGUAAACCGCUUUCGCCUGUGACGAAGCGUGAGUGACGGUAAUGGGUAAAGAAGCACCGGCUAACUACGUG